GAUGGUGCGUCCUCUGUGGGCUUGGCAGUUGGACAUCCAAACAGCUCAUUAGGUUCUGCAGAUACUUCAGGGUUUGCUGAUUCUGCAGG